rnacentral:rRNA from 1 species
UUUCCGGUUGAUCCUGCCGGACCUGACUGCUAUCGGAUUGAUACUAAGCCAUGCGAGUCAUUGUAGCAAUACAAGGCAGACGGCUCAGUAACGCGUAGUCAAUCUACCCUAUGGACGGGGAUAACCUCGGGAAACUGAGAAUAAUACCCGACAGAACAUUAUGCCUGGAAUGGCUUAUGUUUUAAAUGAUUUAUCGCCGUAGGAUGGGACUGCGGCCUAUCAGUUUGUUGGUGAGGUAAUGGCCCACCAAGACUAUUACAGGUACGGGCUCUGAGAGGAGUGGCCCGGAGAUGGGUACUGAGACACGGACCCAGGCCCUAUGGGGCGCAGCAGGCGAGAAAACUUUGCAAUGUGAGAAAGCACGACAAGGUUAAUCCGAGUGGUUUCUGCUAAAGAAACCUUUUCUUAGUCCUAGAAACAUUGACGAAUAAGGGGUGGGCAAGUUCUGGUGUCAGCCGCCGCGGUAAAACCAGCACCUCAAGUGGUCAGGAUGAUUAUUGGGCCUAAAGCAUCCGUAGCUUGCUUUGUAAGUUCUCGGUUAAAUCCAUACUCUUAACGUAUGCGCUGCCGGUAAUACUGCAAAGCUAGGGAGUGGGAGAGGUAGACGGUACUCGGUAGGAAGGGGUAAAAUCCUUUGAUCUAUUGAUGACCACCUGUGGCGAAGGCGGUCUACCAGAACACGUCCGACGGUGAGGGAUGAAAGCUGGGGGAGCAAACCGGAUUAGAUACCCGGGUAGUCCCAGCUGUAAACUAUGCAAACUCAGUGAUGCAUUGGCUUGUGGCCAAUGCAGUGCUGCAGGGAAGCCGUUAAGUUUGCCGCCUGGGAAGUACGUACGCAAGUAUGAAACUUAAAGGAAUUGGCGGG